rnacentral:tRNA from 1 species
GCUCGGUUAGCUCAGUUGGUUAGAGCGUCGUACUAAUAUUAUAUCGUCUGGUAUAACAUUGGUAAUGCGAAGGUCAUGAGUUCGACCCUCAUACUGAGCA